rnacentral:rRNA from 1 species
GACGAACGCUGGCGGCGUGCCUAAUACAUGCAAGUUGAGCGCUGAAGGUUGGUACUUGUUCCAACUGGAUGAGCAGCGAACGGGUGAGUAACGCGUGGGGAAUCUGCCUUUGAGCGGGGGACAACAUUUGGAAACGAAUGCUAAUACCGCAUAAAAACUUUAAACACAAGUUUUAAGUUUGAAAGAUGCAAUUGCAUCACUCAAAGAUGAUCCCGCGUUGUAUUAGCUAGUUGGUGAGGUAAAGGCUCACCAAGGCGAUGAUACAUAGCCGACCUGAGAGGGUGAUCGGCCACAAUGGGACUGAGACACGGCCCAAACUCCUACGGGAGGCAGCAGUAGGGAAUCUUCGGCAAUGGACGAAAGUCUGACCGAGCAACGCCGCGUGAGUGAAGAAGGUUUUCGGAUCGUAAAACUCUGUUGGUAGAGAAGAACGUUGGUGAGAGUGGAAAGCUCAUAAAGUGACGGUAACUACCCAGAAAGGGACGGCUAACUACGUG